GACGAACGCUGGCGGCGUGCUUAACACAUGCAAGUCGAACGGAAAGGCCCUGCUUUUGUGGGGUGCUCGAGUGGCGAACGGGUGAGUAACACGUGAGUAACCUGCCCUUGACUUUGGGAUAACUUCAGGAAACUGGGGCUAAUACCGGAUAGGAGCUCCUGCUGCAUGGUGGGGGUUGGAAAGUUUCGGCGGUUGGGGAUGGACUCGCGGCUUAUCAGCUUGUUGGUGGGGUAGUGGCUUACCAAGGCUUUGACGGGUAGCCGGCCUGAGAGGGUGACCGGGCCCAAUGGGGCUGGGAUACGGCCCCGGCUCCUACGGGGGGGAGCAGGGGGGAAUAUUGCCCAAUGGGGGGAAGCCUGAUGCAGCAACGCCGCGUGCGGGAUGACGGCCUUCGGGUUGUAAACCGCUUUCGCCUGUGACGAAGCGUGAGUGACGGUAAUGGGUAAAGAAGCACCGGCUAACUACGUG
rnacentral:rRNA from 1 species